AGACGUCAUCUGUGGGGGUGGACAAUUGAAAGCCGUGGAAAGUUGAGGAGAUGGGACCUUGCCUGAGAAGAUAACAUCUUUAAUCAGAGAGCCACUCCUGCUCUUCAGCUCUUCAGCCAAGCACCUCAGAGGAAGCUGAGCCCAUGUGGAGUCCCCAGGGGUGGUCGAGUGAUAAUGUCACUUGUGCCAUAUGUACCCCCUUGGCAGAAUGACGGAUAUGCAAACUAAUUCCAGCUCAUAGAGUUGGGAAUCACUGCUGCUGGCGAAAGCAUGGGGCUUCCUGGAGGAGGAGACCUGGUGACCCACAGGCUGUCUGAAAUGGUCUGAAAACGAGCAGAAGUUAGGCCGAUGUGCUUCAAAAGGCGGGUUCUGUGAAGGCCAGCACUUGGCUUCCGAGUUGUGUGCCCCUUAUUUCCAUUCCUGGGUGAAGAUUAAUGUUUCUGACAUGGCAGAGGGUAGUCUUCCCCAUGGAGGAACACACCGACUGACAUCCAGUACUAUGGCGUCAGCCCCGUACUGCUCCACCCUUCUGUGCUCGAUGCCUGUAACAUCCUCUGCACCCAGGGCCACACUGUUCUACGCUGGUCAUUCUGUUGGGACUUGGGGAAAAACAGUUGAAUUGUGGAAAAUUUAAACAGCAACAACACCAGCAACCUCAAACCUCUCAGAAAUUUCCAUGUGCUAAAAUUCCAGAAGAAUU
rnacentral:lncRNA from 1 species